rnacentral:rRNA from 1 species
GACGAACGCUGGCGGCGCGCCUAACACAUGCAAGUCGAACGGAGCUGAGAGAAGCUUGCUUUUCUUAGCUUAGUGGCGAACGGGUGAGUAACGCGUGAGUAACCUGCCCUGGAGUGGGGGACAACAGUUGGAAACGACUGCUAAUACCGCAUAAGCCCACGAUCCGGCAUCGGAUUGAGGGAAAAGGAUUUAUUCGCUUCAGGAUGGACUCGCGUCCAAUUAGCUAGUUGGUGAGGUAACGGCCCACCAAGGCGACGAUUGGUAGCCGGACUGAGAGGUUGAACGGCCGCAUUGGGACUGAGACACGGCCCCGACUCCUACGGGAGGCAGCAGUGGGGGAUAUUGCACAAUGGGGGAAAACCUGAUGCAGCGGCGCCGCGUGGAGGAAGAAGGUUUUCGGAUUGUAAACUCCUGUCGUUAGGGACGAUAAUGACGGUACCUAACAAGAAAGCACCGGCUAACUACGUG